CAACUCAGAUACAACUCAGAUACAACUCAGAUACAGCUCAGUUUAGGAUCCUCAAAUCAAGUGAUAGAAAGAGAUAAAGUGUUUGGUUUUUCUUUCUAGGUUCUACAACUUCAGCUACAACUAAAGAGACACCAACAACAAUGACAACAAAUCUGUAAGUUCAAAUUUUCCACUCGGUCUUUAAAACUAGCUGAGCUGUAUGUUCACCUCAUUUUGGCGUUUUACUGUUUGCUUUUUGCAGAACUACAAAUGCACCGUCUGCAAACACAAAGAAGACGAGCGAUGAUAGACCAACCACCGCUCGUUUAAUAAAAACAUCUGAGAAUGGUCAAGGCCUAAACACUGAUGGAAUUAAUGAAAAUUCCAUGUUGAUCUGGGUUCUGCUGGCUGUAGGUCUGGGGCUGCUCUUCCUCCUGAUCAUCAUUAUUACCUUUAGGACAAGAAAGCGAAGUAAGUAUUUAUAAUCUGUCGUUUUUUAGUUUAAGUGAGGUCGGAUAGUGGCUACCA
rnacentral:lncRNA from 1 species